rfam:Pythium ultimum DAOM BR144 ctg_1117875580639, whole genome shotgun sequence.
CCAUUGGACUUCCUAAAGUCCACAAGAAGAAUAUUAUAAGUUUAA